UACGUAGGGUGCGAGCGUUGUCCGGAAUUAUUGGGCGUAAAGAGCUCGUAGGCGGUUUGUCGCGUCUGCUGUGAAAUCUGGGGGCUCAACCCCCAGCCUGCAGUGGGUACGGGCAGACUAGAGUGCGGUGGGGGAGAGUGGAAUUCCUGGUGUAGCGGUGAAAUGCGCAGAUAUCAGGAAGAACACCCGUGGCGAAGGCGGCUCUCUGGGACGGUACUGACGCUGAGACGCGAAAGCGUGGGGAGCGAACAGG
rnacentral:rRNA from 1 species